UACGGAAGGUCCAGGCGUUAUCCGGAUUUAUUGGGUUUAAAGGGAGCGCAGGCGGACUCUUAAGUCAGUUGUGAAAUACGGCGGCUCAACCGUCGGACUGCAGUUGAUACUGGGAGUCUUGAGUGCACACAGGGAUGCUGGAAUUCAUGGUGUAGCGGUGAAAUGCUCAGAUAUCAUGAAGAACUCCGAUCGCGAAGGCAGGUAUCCGGGGUGCAACUGACGCUGAGGCUCGAAAGUGCGGGUAUCAAACAGG
rnacentral:rRNA from 1 species